rnacentral:rRNA from 1 species
GAUGAACGCUGACGGCGUGCCUAAUACAUGCAAGUCGAGCGAACGGACGAGAAGCUUGCUUCUCUGAUGUUAGCGGCGGACGGGUGAGUAACACGUGGAUAACCUACCUAUAAGACUGGGAUAACUUCGGGAAACCGGAGCUAAUACCGGAUAAUAUUUUGAACCACAUGGUUCAAAAGUGAAAGACGGUCUUGCUGUCACUUAUAGAUGGAUCCGCGCUGCAUUAGCUAGUUGGUAAGGUAACGGCUUACCAAGGCAACGAUGCAUAGCCGACCUGAGAGGGUGAUCGGCCACACUGGAACUGAGACACGGUCCAGACUCCUACGGGAGGCAGCAGUAGGGAAUCUUCCGCAAUGGGCGAAAGCCUGACGGAGCAACGCCGCGUGAGUGAUGAAGGUCUUCGGAUCGUAAAACUCUGUUAUUAGGGAAGAACAUAUGUGUAAGUAACUGUGCACAUCUUGACGGUACCUAAUCAGAAAGCCACGGCUAACUACGUG